GCUGGCGGCGUGGAUCGACAUGCAAGUCGAACGGGGUUAAUCUGGUAGCAAUAUUGGGUUAAUCUAGUGGCGAACGGGUGCGUAACACGUGACCAACCUGCCUAGAAGUGGGGGAUAGCUCGCCGAAAGGCGAAUUAAUACCGCAUGUGAUCGUAAGAUUAAAGCAGCAAUGCGCUUUUAGAGGGGGUCGCGGCCUAUCAGCUAGUUGGUGAGGUAAAGGCUUACCAAGGCAGCGACGGGUAGCUGGUCUGAGAGGACGACCAGCCACACUGGAACUGAGACACGGUCCAGACACCUACGGGUGGCAGCAGUCGAGAAUUUUUCUCAAUGGGGGAAACCCUGAAGGAGCGACGCCGCGUGGAGGAUGAAGGCUUUCGGGUUGUAAACUCCUGUCAUCUGGGAACAAAACUCGUAAGAGCUUGAUAGUACCAGAAGAGGAAGAGACGGCUAACUCUGUGCCAGCAGCCGCGGUAAUACAGAGGUCUCAAGCGUUGUUCGGAUUCA
rnacentral:rRNA from 1 species